UACGUAGGGUGCGAGCGUUGUCCGGAAUUAUUGGGCGUAAAGAGCUCGUAGGCGGCCUGUCACGUCGGAUGUGAAAGCCCAGGGCUUAACCCUGGGUCUGCAUUCGAUACGGGCAGGCUAGAGUUCGAUAGGGGAGAUCGGAAUUCCUGGUGUAGCGGUGAAAUGCGCAGAUAUCAGGAGGAACACCGGUGGCGAAGGCGGAUCUCUGGGCCGAUACUGACGCUGAGGAGCGAAAGCAUGGGGAG
rnacentral:rRNA from 1 species